rnacentral:rRNA from 1 species
GGGGAAUCUUCCGCAAUGGACGAAAGUCUGACGGAGCAACGCCGCGUGAGUGAUGACGGCCUUCGGGUUGUAAAGCUCUGUUAAUCGGGACGAAAGGUCUUCUUGCGAAUAGUUAGAAGAAUUGACGGUACCGGAAUAGAAAGCCACGGCUAACUACGUGCCAGCAGCCGCGGUAAUACGUAGGUGGCAAGCGUUGUCCGGAAUUAUUGGGCGUAAAGCGCGCGCAGGCGGAUCAGUCAGUCUGUCUUAAAAGUUCGGGGCUUAACCCCGUGAUGGGAUGGAAACUGCUGAUCUAGAGUAUCGGAGAGGAAAGUGGAAUUCCUAGUGUAGCGGUGAAAUGCGUAGAUAUUAGGAAGAACACCAGUGGCGAAGGCGACUUUCUGGACGAAAACUGACGCUGAGGCGCGAAAGCCAGGGGAGCGAACGGGAUUAGAUACCCCGGUAGUCCUGGCCGUAAACGAUGGGUACUAGGUGUAGGAGGUAUCGACCCCUUCUGUGCCGGAGUUAACGCAAUAAGCAUUCCGCCUGGGGAGUACGGUCGCAAGACUG